rnacentral:rRNA from 1 species
UGGGGAAUAUUGCACAAUGGGCGCAAGCCUGAUGCAGCCAUGCCGCGUGUGUGAAGAAGGCCUUCGGGUUGUAAAGCACUUUCAGCGAGGAGGAAGGUGGUGAACUUAAUACGUCAUCAAUUGACGUUACUCGCAGAAGAAGCACCGGCUAACUCCGUGCCAGCAGCCGCGGUAAUACGGAGGGUGCAAGCGUUAAUCGGAAUUACUGGGCGUAAAGCGCACGCAGGCGGUUUGUUAAGUCAGAUGUGAAAUCCCCGGGCUCAACCUGGGAACUGCAUUUGAAACUGGCAAGCUAGAGUCUCGUAGAGGGGGUAGAAUUCCAGGUGUAGCGGUGAAAUGCGUAGAGAUCUGGAGGAAUACCGGUGGCGAAGGCGGCCCCCUGGACGAAGACUGACGCUCAGGUGCGAAAGCGUGGGGAGCAAAACAGGAUUAGAUACCCUGGUAGUCCACGCUGUAAACGAUGUCGAUUUUGGAGGUUGUGCCCUUGAGGCGUGGCUUCCGGAGCUAACGCGUUAAAUCGACCGCCUGGGGAGUACGGCCGCAAGGUUAAAACUCAAAGUGAAUUGAC